UUCGUUCAUCUCCUACGGGAGACGCAAAAGCCGACUGAAGGAACGGGAA
rfam:Marine metagenome 1095460124981, whole genome shotgun sequence.